CAGAAUUCACACACUAAGAAUGCACACAUUUUUUUAGAAUUCACAUCUCAAAAAUUUACACUAAUUUGCAAAAAUUCACACCCUCUAACUUACACAAUUCACACCCUAAAUUCAGAAUUCACAUUCGAAAAAGACAUAAUUCACAAUAAUUCACAUUCAAAUGAAGAAUUCACACAUUGAAAAAGACAAAGGCAUCCCUAAAUGAAGAAUUCACACAUAUUUUAGCACCUGACAAAAUUUAUAAUUCAAGCAAAAACAUCAAAAAGAAAAAGAAACAAAAAGGAAUUUACGUGAAUGAAAACUAAAAUUAGAAAACAUAAGCCAUUAAUUCCAAACUGGCUUUGAACAACUACCAAUAUCCUCGAAAGCCUAUCAACGGCAAAUAAAAAAUCACCGCUGCUUCCACCAGCAGAAGGAAUAUCAUCAUCCAUACCAGCACCUCUCAUGUCGGCAUUGCCUGCACCUGGUACAUCUUGGCGAUGAUCGGGUUACAGAUGCUCUCGAGCUCCUUCAGUGGAUCAACAACCACCGCGACUGGGGUACGCUGUCUUGUAGCUUGAUCGGCGCUUCGACGACACCGAUCUCAUAAAGAAGCAAUACCGCCGCCUCGCUCUGCUGCUCCACCCCGACAAGAACGAAUUCCCCUUUGCCGACGCCGCGAUCUGCCUCGCCGACGAUUCCUGGGCGGUUUUAUCCGACCCGCAAAGGAAAUCCCUCUACGACAAUAAGCUCAGCAUGUGCGGAAAGGUCAAUCUCGUCGUCUCGAGGAGCGACGGGGAUCGGGGGUAGAAAAGUUGACGGUGAGACGUGGCGGUGGUAACGGCGGAGGAGGCGGAGACAGCGAGGAGGAGGUGGAGAGAGAGUAAGGUUUUCUCAGACGAUUUUCGGUGGAAUAUUCCAGCAUUUAAUAAA